rnacentral:rRNA from 1 species
CUGCCGGCGAGUGGCGAACGGGUGAGUAAUGCAUCGGAACGUGCCCAGUCAUGGGGGAUAACUACGCGAAAGCGUAGCUAAUACCGCAUAAGCCCGAGAGGGGAAAGCAGGGGACCGCAAGGCCUUGCGCGAUUGGGUUGGCCGAUGUCCGAUUAGCUUGUUGGUGAGGUAAAGGCUUACCAAGGCGAUGAUCGGUAGCUGGUCUGAGAGGAUGAUCAGCCACACUGGGACUGAGACACGGCCCAGACUCCUACGGGAGGCAGCAGUGGGGAAUUUUGGACAAUGGGGGCAACCCUGAUCCAGCCAUGCCGCGUGAGUGAAGAAGGCCUUCGGGUUGUAAAGCUCUUUCAGACGGAAAGAAAUCGCCUCUCCUAAUACGGGAGGUGGAUGACGGUACUGUCAGAAGAAGCACCGGCUAACUACGUGCCAGCAGCCGCGGUAAUACGUAGGGUGCGAGCGUUAAUCGGAAUUACUGGGCGUAAAGCGUGCGCAGGCGGUUGUGUAAGACAGGUGUGAAAUCCCCGGGCUUAACCUGGGAACUGCGCUUGUGACUGCAC